rnacentral:lncRNA from 1 species
UGCGUUGCUCCAUCUAAAGGGGAUUCCACGCUCGAACAACACUGUUGAUAGCAUAUCAGAGAAUUUUUGGUUUUGGAUUGCUGAAGAUAUUGUGGAAGGUUGUGGCAGGCUGUUGAGGGUUUGUUGAAGGAUUGAAGGAGAGAGUUUCAAUGAUUUGUGCCAAGUAAAAAUGAAUCAAUCCUUGUGAUGGUGAAUUGUUGUUCUUAUGUGCUCUCGGUUUUGCAGCUUUCUGUUAGAUUUUUUCUCAGUCUGUUAUUCUGUUAUUUAUGAGUUUGUUACAAGUGGUUCGAAAACAUUUUGCAUUGGUUUUUGACGGUUCUAAUUAUGCUCUUGGAUCUUAUGCAGGGUUGAAGUUGGCUACGUUUUCCUUUGCGUAUUGGAAUUGCACUUGCUGCGUUUUGACACUUGGUCUCGCCGUUUUGUUCUGCAGUUCUUUGGUUGUUUGCUGCGUACUUUCUGUUACAACGGGUAUGGAUGACCUUCGAUAACUCGUUUUUGAUUCUCACUUCCGUGGCUCUUAACAGCUCCUUUCAAAUUCUGUGGAACAGUGAGGUGGAAUACGGGUGGCCCAUGGAUUCGUGAUUGGGAUGGUACUAUUGGAAACUUGGAAUCCGUGUGUUAAAUGUUGAAUUCAAAUUGUGUAUCGAAUAGGAAUGUAUAUGAAUGCUUGAACUUGAUUGUAAUUUAAAAAUGGUUGAAUGAGACCUUAGAAUCAAAGGCUUAUGUACAAAACUGUUUAUAUCUUGAAUGAAAGAAAAUUAUUUGGUAUUUGGUCAUGUAUUCUCAAGUCAUGUGCUUUCAUGUU